GGAAGAGAAGAUUAAGACACAGAGAUACCAGAGAGGUCGUUCACAGAGGAAAGACCAUGUGAAGACGCAGUGAGAAGGUGGCCAUAUUCAAGCUGAGGAGAGAGACCUCAGAAGAAACCAAUACUGCCAACGCCUUGGUCUUGGACUUCCAGCCUCCAGAACUGUCCUGGAUCAGAAGAUGCCUGACAAGAGGCCACUAUCAGCAGCAACAGCACAGUGGGGACAAACCUGAGACCUUGAUGGACCGUGGACACCAGCAGGAGAGACAGAGGAACUUGAAGUCUAAAUGGGCAGACAAGACCAACAUACACAAAGCAGAGAGUGGCACAAGAGCCAUGUCUGAUGCAACAGUGACUCAGGAGGAUCACUCUGACUCAGAAUGGCCAAGCAAAGGUAUUGGGAGGAAGUGGGAUAGAACUGAGCUUUGAAGACCGUGCUAAAAUAUUUACAGACUCCCCAGGUUAUCUCAAGUUCUCUCCAGGAAUUAGCUUCACCUCUUUGUGCUUUGGCUCCACAUCAGUUAAAUAGUGGUAACGUUUGAUCGUUAAGAACCAUGUAGAGAUGAAACAAUUUUCAAAGUUUUUUAAUUAAGUGUACUCAUUGCCACUCAAAGACAAAUACCAUAUAAAUAUAAUAAUAAUCAUAUUGAGAAACAAAAUAGCAAUGAUGCAGAUACUCAUGUACUGUUUCAUGUUUGUGGUCUUUGAGGGGAGUUUUUACUCAAAUAUCCCUAGAUGAAUAAAUACAUAUGGUC
rnacentral:lncRNA from 10 species